GGUUCUGGUGUGCUUUUCUAUGGAUUGAUCGUGCAUAUAGGAGCAUAUAAUGUUUGUGAAUACGAGAUCCUAUGUGUGAUUGUGUAUGGACAGUGGCAUGUAUUUGUUUGUGUAUGAACAGUGGGAUAUAUUUGAGUGUGUGCUAUUUCAAGUUAUAUGUACCGUAUGAACUCUGAGCAGGUGUCAUGUUUUUGUUCAAUUUUGCAUGGUAGAUAGACAAGAAGCGAAAGAAGCUAAUUGUUGCGAUUGUGUCAUAUAUGCAUAUCUUGAUGGCAUUGGCUGCAGAUCAGUAGGCACAGUAGAUGAGAAGGAUAGGAUGAGUAGUAGGAAAGAAUAUGGAAAUGGUUUACUAAUUUAUUAAAUGAAAGCAGUACGUACUGCCAACGAUUACGAGUCGAACGACUAGUCUAGACUAGUCGCUCGACUAGUCUAUGAGUCGCAAACUGGCUGUCGACUCGGUUUCUCGUGUAGACUACUUGUAUGAGUCGAGCCAGUCAUCGACUAGUCGACGACUAGUCCAGACUAGUCGACAUGUUCGAGUCGAACGACUCAAAAAACUGGGGGAGUAUAAAUACGAUGCCUCAUCCCACGGGAGACCUAAUCCUUUCUUUCCCCUCCUCACCUGGACGCGCCGCCGGCUGCUGGACGUGCCCGUCGAGCCCUCCUCGUGCCGCCGGCCGCUGUACUCCCGCCGCCGCGGAUCUGAAGCUCCACCGUCGCCGGCCCCAUGUCGCGGAUCUGAAGCUCCACCGUCGCCUUCGUCUCGCGCCCCUCCUCGCGCCGCCGGCCCCUCGUGCUCUUCUCCUCUUCAGGCAGAUCAGUAGUCACAAUGCCGCAAUCAAAUGAAAUCUUACCUGGCCUACUAGCUGCGAAAGCUAUUGCAGCACGCCAUCAGAUCCGUGAGGUCAUUGAUGGCGUAGCACAGUUUGUGACCGAAGUCGGGCUUCGGCAAUGUGCCAUUCGAGAAUACAACGCCCAUCACAUCACCGGCGACGAAUCUGGUUACUGGAUGGCUGAGCUUGAGUGGGUGUACCGAGAAAUGGUGCCCGUGUAUGCAUCUGUUCAAGGAAUGUUCCUUGUGCGUGAUCCUCAGUUUGCAGCUGUGCUGGGAAACGAGCAGGAAAUACAGUUGAGAAACAUUCUGAUAGAUGCCAAUUAUACAGUUCACUCGAUCAACCGUUUGUUCUUGGUGAUGGGGAGCAGCGCAUCAUUGUUUCAGUAUAUUGUGAAUAAUUGCUCGCUUUUGGAUCCAGUAGCUCAUCAGGAGGCAGAAACCGUAUUAAGCGAGGUCACUAAUAUCGGUCGCCUCAUACAAGCUUUUGCAGGCAAUCUCCAGUUCCAUUUGGAGGUUGUUGCAAAUAUUUGCAAUGCGGGCAUGUUGGUUCCACCCGUGCACCAGGACUAGUCGAAUUAUAGGCCAAGGCCUGCAGGAUAACAGAGAAAGGCAAAGGCAGGCUUUCAUUUGAAGCAAAUGUGAGGUUUUGGUAGAGUAGAUGGCUAUGUGGUCGGUGGUAGUAAAACGAAUGGUGGAAUUGUUGUUAUAAGUGUUUUACCUCCUUGCGGGUCUAUCUGCAGAUAACAUGUUUUGCAGUAGUCUUAUCUUGAGACCUUUGACUUGAUGCAGUAUCUGCAGAUAACAUGUAUUGUAGUAGUCUUAUUUUGAAUGGCGUUGAGGCAUUACAUCAGCUUGCCGGGUGGAUGUUAAACUGGUUAUCUUGUUGGGUACAUGUUCUUA